AGAACGAACGCUGGCGGCAUGCCUAAUACAUGCAAGUCGAACGAACUCUUCGGAGUUAGUGGCGCACGGGUGCGUAACGCGUGGGAAUCUGCCCCUUGGUUCGGAAUAACAGUUGGAAACGACUGCUAAUACCGGAUGAUGACGAAAGUCCAAAGAUUUAUCGCCAAGGGAUGAGCCCGCGUAGGAUUAGCUAGUUGGUGAGGUAAAGGCUCACCAAGGCAACGAUCCUUAGCUGGUCUGAGAGGAUGAUCAGCCACACUGGGACUGAGACACGGCCCAGACUCCUACGGGAGGCAGCAGUAGGGAAUCUUGCGCAAUGGGACGAAAGCCUGACGCAGCCAUGCCGCGUGAAUGAUGAAGGUCUUGGGAUUUAGGUAAAAUUCUUUACACCGGGACGAUAAUGACGGUACCCGGAGAAGAAGCCCCGGCUAACGUUCGUGCCAGCAGCCGAC
rnacentral:rRNA from 1 species